CACACACACUCAUUACAUAUUUGCCAAAGCGCAAGCCAUUAUUGCAAAGCUUUGAAUAGCUAGCUAGCUAGCAGCAUGAAGCAAACGAAGUACUCAAGAUGCGCUGUGGUGGGCCGCACAGAUCUCUACAUCACGUUCCAGCCUCAGAAGACACGAGCGAAAUGGAUUUAAUUCAUAUUUGAAGGCAAUGUCCCUGAAUGAACUUCAGGCGAGGGAAAUAACAUCUGAACAGUGUCCUAGGCUACAUCAUGUGGCCUGUCAGACAGAUCCUCCAAAGCACCAUCUGGAGCAGAAGAGCAGGACCACCCAGAUUCUCCGUCCCAGAAAGCCCCAAGACCUGCUAACAAAGCUUCUGUACACCAAAUACCUGUAACGUCUGAGCAAAGUUUACAUUGUAUUUAGAGAAUAAAUGGUGACACACAUCUAUUGAGUCUUCCUUUGUUAACAGUAUGGCUACUGAUGGCACAAAUUGUGAUUUUGUAAUCAAUGUUUUUAUUAUAAUUGGUCUUUUUUGUAUUUAUUACCCAUGUACUAGCCAGUACAUUUAAUAACUAUGUUUAAAAAGCUCUGUGGCAUUCUUUGAAGCAAGUCUAUAGAAACAGUUUUGGUAUGUAACAUGUCAACAGUUGACACAUGCAAGAUGAGCAGUAAGCAAAGUAAGACAGAGGGAAGAUGAAUUUAUUGUAUUUUCUUCCCCAGUUAUAUUUGUAUUGCAGAAAUCACUGAUGACUCAUAUGCAUAAAAAACAAAACAACUUACUGCUAUAUUCCCCUUAGACAUAAGGCCCAUAGUCUGCUCUAUAGAUGUUGAAUGCAUUCUUUAGUGAGAACACAUUCAAUCACACAGCUAAAAGUCCCGGAUGAUGCACGUUGGUUGGUUUGGAAGCUGCAGUAGUCUUCUUGUUACCUUGAAUAUUGAAAGUGUAAGUAUCAUGGAAUAUAAAACAAGAUGACUGCAUAAUUACCAUGUCAUUCACAAAUAAUUUUACCUGUGGCAUCUCCCUGCAGCAUCCAUUCUCAGGCUCUGUAGGCAUUUGCUUACACUUGGCACAAUUACGCCUGUAUAGAUAAAGGGUUUUAAAAAGUGACAACAUUGCAGGUGAAGUGUAUUUGAAUGU
ensembl:lncRNA